rnacentral:lncRNA from 7 species
ACACAAAUCUCACAGCCAGUCUCCUAUAAGCCAAGGGUACGUCUUUCAAGGCUUUCAGUUUUGUUAUUUCAUUUUAUUUUAUUUUUUAUCCCUGUGUAGCAUCAGAAAUACAAGGAGCAGCUCUCCUGCUGUAACAGCACGUUUGAGGAAAUAAUUCAAACUUCCUAGAGAGAAAAAGCAAAGAGUGCCAUACUUCAUGGUAAACAAACAAGCUCCGUGGUGCUGUUCUAUCAGGCUCCAUGAAACAGAAUUCAGAUCUCUCUGUUUACUCACAGCGUGACCCUGGAGGUUGAGGACAGUUGCAGCUGGAAAGUGAAACUCUGGCGCAUGUUGUAUAAAGACUGGGGAAAUCUCCACCAGAAAUCAGAGCUGGUGGGCAGGCUUCAGAGAAACUCUCCUUCAACCCCAGCGAGCAAUCUUUAGCUUUUCAUGAGUUGAACAGCCUUAGGAGACUUGGGAGAAAGCAUCUGGAAGCAAGACUCAGUCAUGGAGAGCCCAUGGGGAAGGCACAGCGUUGGUGUUGCACACAGGCAGCUGCUGAGUCUCCCCGUAGGAGGUGCUUUGGCCACAGGUCUUACACAACAGUGACUUGAAAUCUGCCUUUUGGCCCCAAGUCUGCUUUUUGGCUGGUGUAUGCUGCAGGACUUUAUGUGCUGAAUGCUGAGCAUUGGAGGGGUUUGGCUGGAGCCGACUUCUCUAUGACUUAAGCACCUCCAGGUCUUGCAUCAUCCCCAGCUUCUUCCAGCAUUGAUUUCCCUUCCAAAAUGACCCAAGGGAUGGCAGCUGCUCCGUGCUGCCCUUUGGGUUUGCAUGGCCUGGGGGGCAGCUGGGGCUCAGGGAGGGGGACAUCUACAGCAUCUCUGCAGCAGGGGGUCAGGAGGAGGGUAGGGGGGAGGGAAUGAGAAGUGGGGAAUUUCCAGGUUGCUGAGCUGGGGAAGAGCACUGGGAUUUGGUGUGCGGGACUCAGUUUCAACUCUGCUUUGUCUCAAACCUCACUUACAUCAACCUAAGGAAUUGUGUAAUGUAAAUACACUGCAAUAAACCAGCACCAGCCUCCUCUAAAGGACC